UGUGAUAGUGAUUCUUUUCAGAACGGGUAUAUUUUGAUAUUUUAUUUUGAAAUCCCGCUUAAUUUUUCAACCCUAAUAUUUUUCUUAUAAAUACCAUUAUUUGGAGCAGUUCUAGGAGGGGAGAAGGAACUGGGCAGCCCCUUCCAUUUCUCUUAGCCCUCAGUGGCUAACUAUUCAAAGCUUAUCUUCUUCCUUGCUCUCUAAAAAUCCACUUUUAUGUUUUUUUUUACUUUUUGGCCUCUAUUUAGUCCGUAGUCUUGUCAAAGCUUUAUUUAUUUAUUUGUUGUGUCUGCAUUUGACGAUCUUCCGAAAGAAUUGAGCCAAAGUAGAAGAUCUUCUUGACGCCGCCCUCAGUUCACUGCCCACAAAAAAGUCAGUGACUCUGAAGUCUUUUUUUAUAUUCUGUUGUAUUAAGAUAUGUAAUGAGCCUUUGUUCCUGUUAGAAGCAUACGUACUGGUCUAUUUGAUUUUUUUUUAUGCAGAGAUCAUGAUAUAGGAUUCUUUUCUUAAGAUUUAGGAUGCAUCUUUUGAGAUAGACCUAGUUAUAUCUAUAUUUUUGUAUAUAGAUUUUAAUAUUGACAGUAUAGGUAGCAUGUUCAUUGGGGACUAUUUUCCCAUUUAGCUAUUAUUUUUAAAUAAAAAUGAAGGUUCUAUUUUCAUGAAUUAUAACUUGAGUUCUUGUUGAAAUGUUAAUGUCUUUUCUAUAGUUGUUUUCUAAUAGUAGAAAAUAGUACGUCAAAUUUUAUGUACAUCUGAAUGGAAAGAACUAUUUUUUUGGAGGUCAUUUAAGUAUAUAUUAUUUUAAAGGGGUAAAGUCUCUGUUAGAGUUGAAUCUUUUUAAGAGACAUCAUGUUAAGAUGGUACCCAAAUGCAUACUUUAUGUAUUUGGAAUGAUUGAUACUUUAAUAAUUGCAAACUUAAUCUAAAAAGCAUUCACGUAUCAUUUAUUCUUUGAUGUA
rnacentral:lncRNA from 1 species